UACGUAGGGUCCGAGCGUUUGUCCGGAAUUACUGGGCGUAAAGAGCUCGUAGGCGGUUUGUCGCGUCGGCCGUGAAAUCUCCACGCUUAACGUGGAGCGUGCGGUCGAUACGGGCAGACUUGAGUUCGGCAGGGGAGACUGGAAUUCCUAGUGUAGCGGUGAAAUGCGCAGAUAUCAGGAGGAACACCGGUGGCGAAGGCGGGUCUCUGGGCCGAUACUGACGCUGAGGAGCGAAAGCGUGGGGAGCGAACAGG
rnacentral:rRNA from 1 species